GCAACCAGCGCCUCGCACGACCCUGCCCCUCGAUCCCAUAUACACCUCCUUCCUGCCGCCACCUCCUGCCCCGCGCCGCCCGCCCCACACCGCCUCGAUUGGGACCGUGUCCCUCCCCAAACGACGGCGAUGAUGGAGGGCGCCGCCCAGCUCCUGGCUGACGGAUUUGCUGGCUCCCCGCUCCUCGGGGCCAGCCCCUCCCCGUGCCGAGUCGAGCAUCGACUUGGAGGCCCCUUGGGGCUGCCGCCGGUGCGGGAGUUCCGUGCGGCCGUGCGGGCUGGGUACCGAGCGGCGGGGCCCGUGGUGCGACGCUCGAUGGAUGGCCUGCACAACGCGGACGACUGCUUCUCUCCCAGGAGGGCCAUAGGAAGCCACUACAUGUCGGAGCUGUUGCAGGAGCACCAGAAGCUUAUCCUGUUCACACAGGUGCUACCAAUCUGCAUCAAACUAUUGGGCCACUAUGAGAGCCUGGAUUCACUCCCUCGCCGCCGCCCGGUCUACCAUUAUUGGCCUAGGCGUCUCACUUGUCACAUAUUGUUAUCAACUCAGAGAAGAAAAAGGUUCCAUGAGGGUGUAUAUUACAGAAGUGGAGAAAGAGCUCGCCUACCAUGCAUGUUGCCUGGUCCGAUGAGCAGUGCUACGCCAAGUGCCCCGUCAGAGUGCAGCCGCACAGCGCUGCCUGCUGUUGAGGACCCCGGAGCCUAGACAGUUAGCUUGGCAACUUCCAGCCCCCCACCACCUUUCUUGACAGCCACGACACCCAUCUUUUCGUCUAUGCCUCAUUGGAUGCACUUCCAUUUGUGCUACCAAACUUUUUCACGAAAAGUGUAGUACCAGUUGGUGUGAUAUCAUGUCCUUAGAAACGCCCCCGAUGGAAUGACCACGACCAUGUUGUUGCCUGGAGUCUUUUUUCAUGAUGAUGUCGCUAUUCGUCAUCCCACAAUUUAUGCGGUGGAGCGUCAACGACCUCAGCGUGUUGCAGGAGAAGACCAUGAAUAUCGGCAAGAAAGAUGUUGAUCCAGGAAGGUGCAACACUGUGAUGUGAGGUGAACACAAGCAUGACCUACAAUCUCGACGCCCACCAUCCAUGUGCCUUGCAAGCAGCAAUUGUUCACAUCCUUGAUAUUUGUCACUGCCCUCAUCUCAUCUAUCCCGACAGUCUCAGUGUCCAGGCAAGGUAUGUCUAUGUCAGUUGAACCAUCACUCGAGUUACAACAAUUCCAAUCUUUUUCCUAUAUCUGCAAUUGGGUGGACUAUGGUAUGAAUCAGUUUAUAAGCAACCAUGGUGUACAUGAAUCUCUGUUGGUGUGAACUGUCAAAAGCAUUUCCUACUAUUUCUACCUCUGUUUCAUCUUCUAAAUCUAGAUUCUAAACUUGGAUAUUAUCUAGCAACAAUCUGUUCAUGAGAAAAGCAUGGCUGAGAGUCAUACUAGAUGUAUGCAUAAUACCGGGACAAGAUAACCUUCCAUUAUCCCAGAAGGGAAACAUAAUACUAAACUGCCAUAAAAUAUAUGUGAGGGCUUACAUCAUCGUUGAGGUCAAAUUUGUAUCUUUAUUAUCACCCUGAUAAAACAUGGUUUUGCUAAUUGACUUCAUCUUAUUUCAACUUUGUUAGUUCAGUUCACGUGCUCUGUUAGAGACCAACCCCAAUGUGUAUGCUACAACCACUGAAAGAAGUAUGUUGCCUUGAUUUUUUUAAUUCAGUUAAUUUGUAUUAAUUGUGUGGCAUCAUAAUGCAAGGUAAAUGCAGAGCUAUACUUUCUAUUCUCAUGCCUUCUAUUAAAAUCAUGCAGAUGCUCCGGUCAUCGUUGUUCAUAUGUUUUGACUCUUGUCGAGCCUCUUCUGUGAGGCACACAUAGUUUGGGAGUAUGCCUAUGGCAAUUUAUCUAUUUCCAUGAUUGAAGAUACGUUUUUAAAUUGAACAAAACAAAUUAUAUGAGAGGCAUAUGUUUUGUUUUUGCUGUCCCAAACUACAGAGAGCCUUGCAAAUUUCCAGGACUCUGUUUCCUCUUGGAACUCUCCUAACUAUGCAUUCUUGAUCACUGUCGAACAUUGAUCGACAGACUGCUCUGUUUACAAACUCUAUUUUUUCUAGGUUUUCUUGUGAAAAUUGAUGAUACCCCAAUGCAGAGCCUUUUGUAGCCUUGUUGCUGGUGACAGAUUUUAGACGAUAACCUAAAUGUAGGCAUUAAACACAGCAAGGUCAGGAUAUGAUAAUGGCCCAAGGCCGUGCCGACAAAUCUGGAAAUACUCUAGAACAAAAUAAUAAUCUGGCAGUGGCCCAAGAGAGCUAUUAGUUCUUGGAUUUUUAUACCCUCAUGUUAAUACUUAACUGUUACAAUUUUUAUUUUUCUUCUCAUUAUAUGUACCUAAUAAUGAUUUAGUUCAUUUCUGGAUGCUUGGACUAAAUCACUGCCAACUUUCUAUAACUUACAGCCUUUGCUUCUUAAGGAAUUGGAGCACUACACUCCCAUUUGUUAAUAGUUACACAUGGUGUAUGCCUGUAUGAGUACUCAAUGUUGUUGUCUGAUGUCUGUACAUUUGUUUGAGCACCACACGAUCUCAUGAAAGAUUUGUAUUGCUCAUCUUAGUCCAAACUGAUGAUGCUGUGUUUUUUUGGUAUGGCCUAGAGUGUAUAUGGUUAUCAAAAGAUAACAGAAUGACGCAAACAGUAGCGUCAUGGCAUAAAACCAGAAAAAAGAUAGUCUAAAACAAAGGUUCAACCAGCUCAGAAUAAUGAUGAUGUGUGCUCCACACUUGAGUACAAUUACACUUCUCAAGUUUUCUCUUUGCGUGUCAAUGUCAGUGACCAUUCUGCUGCUGCAACAAGAGAAUCUGUUUGUAUAAAACUCAAAAGCUAAGUUCUGAAAUUCCUGACAGGAAUACAAAUUUGUGCUCUGAAACCAAAUAUGGAACUACUUGGUAUACACUUUCAUGCUUUUUAUUUUCUACUCCUUCCGCCUAAAUAUAAGUAAUUUUAGAUAUUUCAAUAUAGACUACAUACGGAUGUAUGUAGACAUAUUUUAGAAUGUAGAUUUGAGUAAUAUUCAAACAAAAUGGUUUGCAGAGAACAGUGUUCAGUGACUUAGAUAACUUUAGUGAGCUGAUGGAGCGGUUUACUGGAAUUUACAGUUGCACUAUUACACGAUCUGAUGAGGAAGAGAAAAGAGAGGAGGGAAUGGAAAAUGGAGUGAGCUAAUUGGAAGGGUGCCGAGUAUGGUGCAUACAUGUCAGCGAUGGUAGUCAAAACUUGAUGCUGAGUGCUGAUGGCAUGGUAGAUUGCGAUAAUGUGUUUUGAUUGGAGACACAGGGACAGUGGGUAAAGGAAGAAGUAGAAGGGUGAUUUGUGUAAAAGCACUAGAAGAUAAUGUCCCCGUAAAAUUGAAUUAAAAAAUUAUUGCAUAAUGGCACAGGAAUAGGUUAUAUUUCAUUUUUCGGCCGGUGCAAUGCACGGGCAUUUGUACUAGUAUACACACACACACACACAUAUGGGCUAUUCUGUUUCGCGUAACAGAAUGUUAUUCUGUUACCCUAUUUGAACUGACGAAGUUGACAGGUUGGACUAACAUGGUUUGCCACUUGAACUGAUCUUCCUGCGUCUUCGACAGACGGAAACAUGGGAUUCAAUGGGGAGCUUCCGAGGGUUCUCCGGCACGGUGCCGCGGGCCAUUCAUUGCCAGAGGAUACAUGUAUUGGGUUCCGCACGUGCGUGCGCUCAACUGGUCAUGUUUUCCGAUCUCAAGUCACCGAAGGUGACGACAUGUGCAUUUGGCGGCGGAGGUGUUGCGGGCGUUUGUGCUUACCAUGAUGUUCGUAGCUGUCGAUUUUAUGUCCGCUUGUUGUUUUAUGUGUUGUUGGGAUGUGAGAAUGAUCGGAGUGUUAGAGUUUUGGGAGAUUCUUUCACUCUAAUUUCUGAUUAGAAGUUUUGGUGUUCUUGGUCGUUGGCCAUGGCCGCCAUGCAAAUGUGUUCUUCUUUUUCUGAUGUUUUAUUUUUGAAUUGGCAUUGCAGGGAGAGAGAUGAAGAUUGUAUGAAUAGAUUUGUGUUGUGAAUUUUU